rnacentral:rRNA from 1 species
UACAGAGGGGGGCAAGCGUUGUUCGGAAUUACUGGGCGUAAAGGGCGCGUAGGCGGCCCGCUAAGUCGAACGUGAAAUCCCCGAGCUCAACUCGGGAACUGCGUCCGAUACUGGCGGGCUUGAAUCCGGGAGAGGGAUGCGGAAUUCCAGGUGUAGCGGUGAAAUGCGUAGAUAUCUGGAGGAACACCGGUGGCGAAGGCGGCAUCCUGGACCGGUAUUGACGCUGAGGCGCGAAAGCCAGGGGGAGCAAACGGG